AUUGAACGCUGGCGGCAUGCCUUACACAUGCAAGUCGAACGGUAACGCGGGGCAACCUGGCGACGAGUGGCGAACGGGUGAGUAAUGCAUCGGAACGUGCCCAGUAGUGGGGGAUAGCCCGGCGAAAGCCGGAUUAAUACCGCAUACGACCUACGGGUGAAAGCGGGGGACCGCAAGGCCUCGCGCUAUUGGAGCGGCCGAUGUCAGAUUAGGUAGUUGGUGGGGUAAAGGCCUACCAAGCCUACGAUCUGUAGCUGGUCUGAGAGGACGACCAGCCAAACUGGGACUGAGACACGGCCCAGACUCCUACGGGAGGCGGCAGUGGGGAAUUUUGGACAAUGGGGGCAACCCUGAUCCAGCCAUGCCGCGGGCGGGAAGAAGGCCUUCGGGUUGUAAACCGCUUUUGUCGGGGAAGAAACGCGCCGGGCUAAUACCCUGGAGUAAUGACGGUACCCGAAGAAUAAGCACCGGUUAACUACGUGCCAGCAGCCGCCGUAAAAC
rnacentral:rRNA from 1 species